rnacentral:rRNA from 1 species
CAGCAGCCGCGGUAAUACCGGCGGCCCGAGUGGCGGUCACUAUUAAUGGGCUUAAAGCGUCCGUAGCCGGGCUGGUAAGGCCUCCGGGAAAUCUGGUCGCUUAAAGGUCAGACUUCCGGAGGAUACUGCUGGCCUAGGGACCGGGAGAGGCCGAGGGUAUUCCCGGGGUAGGGGGGAAAUCCUGUAAUCCCGGGAGGACCACCUGUGGCGAAGGCGCUCGGCUGGAACGGGUCCGACGGUGAGGGACGAAGGCCAGGGGAGCGAACCGGAUUAGAUACCCGGGUAGUCCUGGCGGUAAACGAUGCGGACUAGGUGUCGGGCAAGCUAAGGGCUUGUCCGGUGCCGCAGGGAAGCCGUUAAGUCCGCCGCCUGGGGAGUACGGCCGCAAGGUUGAAACUUAAAGGAAUUGGCGGG